rnacentral:rRNA from 1 species
UACGUAGGUGGCAAGCGUUGUCCGGAUUUACUGGGCGUAAAGAGCGCGCAGGCGGUCGUGCAAGUCGCGUGUGAAAGCCCCCGGCUCAACUGGGGAGGGUCACGCGAUACUGCUCGACUCGAAGGCAGGAGAGGGAAGUGGAAUUCCCGGUGUAGUGGUGAAAUGCGUAGAUAUCGGGAGGAACACCAGUGGCGAAGGCGACUUCCCGGCCUGUUCUUGACGCUGAGGCGCGAAAGCUAGGGUAGCAAACGGG